rnacentral:rRNA from 1 species
CCCAGACUCCUACGGGAGGCAGCAGUGGGGAAUAUUGCACAAUGGGGGAAACCCUGAUGCAGCGACGCCGCGUGAGUGAAGAAGUAUUUCGGUAUGUAAAGCUCUAUCAGCAGGGAAGAUAAUGACGGUACCUGAGUAAGAAGCCCCGGCUAACUACGUGCCAGCAGCCGCGGUAAUACGUAGGGGGCAAGCGUUAUCCGGAUUUACUGGGUGUAAAGGGAGCGUAGACGGCAAGGCAAGUCUGAAGUGAAAGCCCGGGGCUCAACCGCGGGACUGCUUUGGAAACUGUUAAGCUGGAGUGCAGGAGAGGUAAGUGGAAUUCCUAGUGUAGCGGUGAAAUGCGUAGAUAUUAGGAGGAACACCAGUGGCGAAGGCGGCUUACUGGACUGUAACUGACGUUGAGGCUCGAAAGCGUGGGGAGCAAACAGGAUUAGAUACCCUGGUA